UACGGAGGGAGCUAGCGUUGUUCGGAAUUACUGGGCGUAAAGCGCACGUAGGCGGUUUUGUAAGUUAGAGGUGAAAGCCUGGAGCUCAACUCCAGAAUAGCCUUUAAGACUGCAUCGCUUGAAUCCAGGAGAGGUGAGUGGAAUUCCGAGUGUAGAGGUGAAAUUCGUAGAUAUUCGGAAGAACACCAGUGGCGAAGGCGGCUCACUGGACUGGUAUUGACGCUGAGGUGCGAAAGCGUGGGGAGCAAACAGG
rnacentral:rRNA from 1 species